GGGCGCAGCAGGCGCGCAAACUUUACAAUGCGAGCAAUCGUGAUAAGGAAACCCUGAGUGCCUGUCGAUGCAGGCUGUUCAUAUAUCUAAAUCAUAUGUGAAGAAAGGGCAGGGCAAGACCGGUGCCAGCCGCCGCGGUAAUACCGGCUGCUCGAGUGAUGGCCACUAUUACUGGGUUUAAAGCGUCCGUAGCUUGACUGUUAGGUCUCUUGGGAAAUCUUCGCGCUCAACGUGAAGGCGUCUAAGAGAUACCGGCAGUCUUGGAACUGGGAGAGGUAAACCGUACUUCGGGGGUAGGAGUGAAAUCUUGUAAUCCUCGAGGGACGACCUAUGGCGAAGGCAGUUUACCAGAACAGCUUCGACAGUGAGGGACGAAAGCUGGGGGAGCAAACGGGAUUAGAUACCCCGGUAGUCCCAGCCGUAAACAAUGUGCGUUAGGUGUGUCGGUAACCACGUGUUACUGAUGCGCCGAAGAGAAAUCGUGAAACGCACCACCUGGGAAGUACGGUCGCAAGGCUGAAACUUAAAGGAAUUGGCGGGGGAGCACCACAACAGGUGGAGCCUGCGGUUUAAUUG
rnacentral:rRNA from 1 species